UGUCUCUUUGGAGCUUCCUUGGUGAAGCCUUAGGAGGAGGAGCUCCAUCUGACUGCCUAGGUGAUGCCUCUUGGUGGAGAACCCUCAACCCAUCAUGAUCCAUUCUUCUUCCAUGCCUUAUUUCUCUCAAAACCUAGUAGCCAAGCUCGGUGGGGUGAAGGAUUGAUGUCAACCAAUGAUUCUAGAAGCUGGAUGGUGUGCCAAAUCUGGGAUUCAAGGAGCUCAAAACCUGUUUUAGCCUAUGGCAAGGUUUCAAGGUCAAGUUACUGAUAUUGAUCUGGCCUGGAAAGAAAUGAAAAAUAUGAAGGAUGAAUUGGUGUACAGGACUCACCAAAGAUUAGCACUUGACGCUGCUGAUCUGCCUGAGUUUAAUCAAAUCAUAUUGCAUGGGCAUGGAUGAAGAACACAAACUGAUCCGAUGCACCCAGGUCUUUAUCUACUUUGAUAUAUUUUUUUUGUUGAGAGAGAGAUUGAUUGAGCAAGUUCUGGAGUCAGAGAGAAAAGGGAUGCACCAUUUCUUUCAUUGAGAGAGAGAGAAAGAGAGAGAGAGAGAGGGAUCUAGACACAUGGAGAGAGAGAAGGGGUCAUCAAGAAGGUCGAGAGGGAGAGGGAGAGGAGCAAACCAUCAACAGCCCCAAAAGCUGGUGAUAGAGCCAGCACACCCAGGACUCCAAUUCGAUAGGUUGGUGACUUUGAUCCCACAGGAAGCCAUUUGCCGGCACCAUCUCUUCAUAAGCAGUGAUGCACAUAACCUACACCGUUCUAAUAAUGGACCUUGGAAGAGGUCAUUGGACAAUGAUCAAGGCUAUCAUGGGAAUCAGGUUAGACAUCCAACUUUCUAUGCACUUCCCCAGUUUCAUAUUCGAUUAAAUGUAGCAGAAGGGAAAUGCUGAGAAACAAUUACAGAAAAGAAGGUGAUCGAGGUCCUUGAGUGCAGACAGUGAGAUAAGCUAUAAUAAAAAGCUGUGCAUAUAUAUUUUCAAUGUAGCAGAAGGGGAAUGCUGAGAAACAAUUACAGAAAAGAAGGCGAUCUAGCUCCUUGAGUGCAGACAGUGAGGUAAGCUAUAAUAAAAAGCUGUGCAUAUAUAUUCUCAAAAUAUAUGGCAUGUUAUCCAUAAGGAAUGCAUAGUAUGUUAGUGAGAGAUCCUCACUUUUUAGUUUGUCUUAUUUGUCUAUCACUCUGCUUGUGGUUGAGGUGCAUGCAAUUUCCGCCUGUGCCACAAAUUUCAUCUUCAGUCGAAGGUGAUUGGUCUUGUCCAUGUCUUUUGGUACCAGUCUUAUUUUAACAUGCAUGGGUCCUUGGUCAACAUUGCUGAUUAUUUUUUUGUUUUGUUAAUGUAUAGCAGAUUAUUAUCACCAUUUUGCUGAAGUUAGAUUUUUUUUUAAACAAUUUUUCAGUUAGUAUACACGGUUCUAGAUCAUAAUUAUUAGAUGGUCCAAUGCUCCAUUUCUUAUUUAAUUGUUAGAUUGAGUAACAUCCUUAUACAUAGGUUGUGCUUGCUUCUAUCUUCACCUACCAUACCUUACCGUUUUCUGAAUCAAUUUGGAGUUGUGAUGCUUGAUUUAAAUGACCUUGGAAUAUGUUUUGCUUAUAUUUCAUUCCAAUGCUCGCUACCUUUCUUGGGUGGUGAGUAACAAUAUUCAGCUUUGAGACUCAACUUUCAUGACUGAGAUAUGUAUCUUCAAAUGAGUCCAAUAUGUAGCUUCUUCUGUUAAUCCAUUCUUUUUAGUAGCACACACUAGUCACCGAAGCAAAGGUCAGACUUUAGAUGUUCUACUUGGUUGAGGUAUUUCCAUCUGAAAGGCUUAUAUUUCAUGUGUUGUCUUGAUGGUGAACUAUUUAAGCAAGGCUAGAAAGGGAACCAGAACCAAUUCAAUGGCCCCUAAGGUCAGGUUUCCUACCUUCUUAUCUAUUUAUUAUUUUUUUUUUUAGAAAAAAGGUGUAGCUACUGCAUAAGCAGCAUUUUUUCUUUUGGAAAAUGGAAAGACCUAUAGGCGGUGACAAAACCACUACUAAAGAUAAUUUUUCCACCACUAUAGACCAUAUUGCCAACAACUUCCACCCUUGCCAAUAAGUUGGGAGGGUUGCUAAUAACAUUAUUGGCAACAGUUGACACCCUAGAGAAUGGCUUUUCCCAACGCUACAAAGGGCAAGGGCAACCUGAUGUAUCCCCUAGGGUGAGGGUUGUUCCCUAUAGUGCCAUUGGCGAUGGCAAGUGCUGUUCCAAUAGCAACUUGUUGUGUUUGACGAUGCAACUGUCCUCACCAACAAAUGAUUCCCUCAUUGUGUGGCCUGCCAGACCUCCGAGCCUCUUGUUGAUGAAUGAGGAACAUCGGGGAGUGAGGCCUCAUUAGCUUGAAUUCCUUUCCAUGACCUGAUUCUUUCAUUUAUUGCUGAGAUGAGGGCAAACGGGGAUGCCUCCACUACCGACUAGAAGGCCAUUUUAUCCUAGGCCACAAGCUUGGAAGCAAUGGUGUUUUCUUGCCUGCAAGGAUCUUCACUGCCAGCCUCGAUACAUCCAGCCACUCUGGACUGGUUCAUGAUGGCCAUCAUGCUCAACAUGCAGUAUUAGUGUACUUAUUUACAGUAUACACUUGAAUGAUUAUUAGCUUAUAAACCUGCACCAGCUUGGAGCUGUGCAACUACUUAUGCGUGGAAAAGAUUGAGGAAAAAUUUUGCAAAGCCACGAGCGCACCUCCAUCAACUCAGUCUCAGUUUAUGUUUCUUUUUUUUUUUCAAAUUGAGGAAAAAAAAUGAAGUUUGAUUGAAGCUCUAGAUACUGCUAGACAAAGCACAAUUCAGUUUCUUUUUUUUGCUAACAAAUAACAUUGGAUUAUUUGAUCACAAUGCAUAUGUGAUCCAGAAUGUGAUUAGGCAAGUGUGCCUACUGAAGAUUAUCUCAAGCCUGUAUGUUCAUUUGCAAAUCUAACAGCAUUGACACCUUCAUCGUA